rnacentral:rRNA from 1 species
CACGUAGGGCGCAAGCGUUGUCCGGAAUUAUUGGGCGUAAAGAGCUCGUAGGCGGUCUGUUACGUCUGCUGUGAAAACCCAGGGCUUAACCCUGGGCUUGCAGUGGAUACGGGCAGACUAGAGGCAGGUAGGGGAGAAUGGAAUUCCCGAUGUAGCGGUGAAAUGCGCAGAUAUCGGGAGGAACACCGGUGGCGAAGGCGGUUCUCUGGGCCUGACCUGACGCUGAGGAGCGAAAGCGUGGGGAGCGAACAGG